rfam:TPA: Bos taurus chromosome 19, whole genome shotgun sequence.
UGGCUCAGAUGGUAAAGUGUCUGCCUACAAUGCAGGAGACCCAGGUUCAAUCCCUGG